rnacentral:rRNA from 1 species
AGGAUGGGUGGUGAUUCAUAAUAACUUCUCGAAUCGCACGGCCUUGCGCCGGCGAUGGUUCAUUCAAAUUUCUGCCCUAUCAACUUUCGACGGCUGGGUCUUGGCCAGCCGUGGUGACAACGGGUAACGGAGGGUUAGGGCUCGACCCCGGAGAAGGAGCCUGAGAAACGGCUACUACAUCCAAGGAAGGCAGCAGGCGCGCAAAUUACCCAAUCCCGACACGGGGAGGUAGUGACAAUAAAUACUGAUACAGGGCUCUUUCGGGUCUUGUAAUUGGAAUGAGUACAAUUUAAAUCCCUUAACGAGGAACAAUUGGAGGGCAAGUCUGGUGCCAGCAGCCGCGGUAAUUCCAGCUCCAAUAGCGUAUAUUAAAGUUGUUGAGGUUAAAAAGCUCGUAGUUGAACCUUGGGCCUAGCCGGCCGGUCCGCCUCACCGCGUGCACUGGCUCGGCUGGGUCUUUCCUUCUGGAGAACCGCAUGCCCUUCACUGGGUGUGCUGGGGAACCAGGACUUUUACUCUGAAUAAAUUAGAUCGCUUAAAGAAGGCCUAUGCUCGAAUACAUUAGCAUGGAAUAAUAGAAUAGGACGUGUGGUUCUAUUUUGUUGGUUUCUAGGACCCGCCGUAAUGAUUAAUANGGACAGUCCGGGGCAUCAAGUAUUCAAUUGUCAGAGGUGAAAAUUCUUGGAUUUAUUGAAGAACUAACUACUGCNAAAAGCAUUUGCCAAGGGAUGUUUUUCAUUAAAUCANGGAA